rnacentral:rRNA from 1 species
GAUGAACGCUGGCGGCGUGCUUAACACAUGCAAGUCGAACGGGAUCCCAGGAGCUUGCUCUUGGGUGAGAGUGGCGAACGGGUGAGUAAUGCGUGACCGACCUGCCCCAUACACCGGAAUAGCUCCUGGAAACGGGUGGUAAUGCCGGAUGCUCCAGUUGGAUGCAUGUCCUUCUGGGAAAGAUUCAUCGGUAUGGGAUGGGGUCGCGUCCUAUCAGCUUGAUGGCGGGGUAACGGCCCACCAUGGCUUCGACGGGUAGCCGGCCUGAGAGGGCGACCGGCCACAUUGGGACUGAGAUACGGCCCAGACUCCUACGGGAGGCAGCAGUGGGGAAUAUUGCACAAUGGGCGCAAGCCUGAUGCAGCGACGCCGCGUGCGGGAUGACGGCCUUCGGGUUGUAAACCGCUUUUGACUGGGAGCAAGCCCUUCGGGGUGAGUGUACCUUUCGAAUAAGCACCGG